rnacentral:rRNA from 1 species
GAUGAACGCUGGCGGCGUGCCUAAUACAUGCAAGUCGAGCGAACGGACGAGAAGCUUGCUUCUCUGAUGUUAGCGGCGGACGGGUGAGUAACACGUGGAUAACCUACUUAUAAGACUGGGAUAACUUCGGGAAACCGGAGCUAAUACCGGAUAAUAUUUUGAACCGCAUGGUUCAAAAGUGAAAGACGGCCUUGCUGUCACUUAUCGCUGGAUCCGCGCUGCAUUAGCUAGUUGGUAAGGUAACGGGUUACCAAGGCAACGAUGCGUAGCCGACGUGAUAGGGUGGUCGGCCGCACGGGAGGUGAGACGCGGUCCAGGCUCCUACGGGAGGCAGCAGUAGGGAAUCGGCCGCAAUGGGCGGAAGCCUGACGGAGCAACGCGGCGUGAGUGAUGAAGGUCUUCGGAUCGGAAAAAUCUGUUAUUAGGGAAGAACAGAUGUGUAAGUAGCUGUGCACAGCUUGACGGUACCUGAUCAGAAAGCCACGGCUAACUACGUG